rnacentral:tRNA from 1 species
GCACGGUGGUGCAGUGGUUACUGCUGUUGCUUUGCAAGAAGAAGGUUCCGGGUUCAAGUUCCGGCCAGCC